AACCCUGAGCCCUACCUCAGGCCUGAAGGCUGAAGCUAGGUUGGCUCCCCAGGAAGCAGACUCUGAGGUGCAGCUUGGCAUGCAGGAUGUUUAUUAAGGGUGUGCCCUUGGGAUCGACUGCUGCUAAAAGGAAAAGAAGGAAGCAGGACAAGACAGAGGGCUUUCGUUUGCAGCAUCUUCUCCACAUGUGUCUACCAUUGCUUUAUAGGAUCAUGUCAGCUCUUUUCACAAUCACAUACUAGUACAACAGAACUUUCAGGU